rnacentral:rRNA from 1 species
UACGGAGGGUGCUAGCGUUGUUCGGAAUUACUGGGCGUAAAGCGCGCGUAGGCGGACCUGCAAGUCGGGGGUGAAAGCCCGAGGCUCAACCUCGGAACUGCCUUCGAUACUGCGGGUCUCGAGUCCGGGAGAGGUGAGUGGAAUUCCUAGUGUAGAGGUGAAAUUCGUAGAUAUUCGCAAGAACACCAGUGGCGAAGGCGGCUCACUGGCCCGGUACUGACGCUGAGGUGCGAAAGCGUGGGGAGCAAACAGG